GAAAAGCGCGGUCACGCGGCGGAGGCAGCGCCGCCACCGCGGCAGGUGCGUUGCCCGUUCCCCGCAGCCGGCGUGCGGAGAGUGGAAGUCGGCAGCCCUCCGGCUGCCCCAGCCCUACAGCCGCGCCUCGUGGCUCAUGGAUUGUAUGUGAAGCCCCACCGCAUUUCAGUAUCACAUCUGCGCGUUACCCCGGAGAGGCCAAAGAGCGAACUCCUGGCGCGGGUGUCACCGUCCUCCAAACCGCAGGGACGGUUUCGUUUCAGAAAUAGAGAAAUAUGCAAAACGUGGGAAGGAUAGUAGUGCUUGGAGCCACGGGAACACUGCUUGAAAACGUGGUCACUACUUUAUGUGCGGGGUUCUGAGCAGCGCUUGAUACGAUUCAGCGGAGUAAGAUGCAGUCAGUCUUACUCCUACCCUAAAGUCUGUCAUCACAUGAAGCAGAGUGUGGACGCUGAGGGAACAAAAAGAGCCACGUUGAAGGCACUAUGACCACCCUUACUGAGGCUCUGGAACAUGGGGAGAGGAAGGCUGCAAGUGUACAGAAGUAGUUCUGGAACACAAACCUGCAUGACAAGUAAGAUAAUUCCAAUUGCAAUGGAAUGCAAUUGUCCACAGACUGCAGCUGCUGCCUCCACGGAUUUAACAAGGAAAUCAGAAGUCAGCACAGCACCAGUACAUCACUUGAGAGAUGGAUUUCACUUAAAUUAUAUCUUUCUGCCCUGACCACUACAUAAUUUCUGUACUAUAAUUACAUACAAAAUAAAAAAGUGGCUUGCACAAGGUUGCAUAACUCUUUAUCUGUUCCAGAGCCACGUGCAGCCUUGUAGGAAACAGAUUUCACAAGUUCACAACGUACUUGUAAAUCUGCAGAAAGAUGUCUGGAGAGAGAAGAAAAAAAACCCAAACCCACAUCAAAAAACCAAAACAAACACAACUAUUUUUUCUCACUUUUUCUGGUAAACCUAAAGCUUUAAAAUACAGAAAUAAACAGAUUUAAUGUGAAAUAUGCCUGCAGUCUGAUACUAGGCAUGGAUCCUUGUCUCACAAAUCUCGUCUGGAACAGGAAAAAAUUCCUGUUUAGUCUGAACAUGCUUCAGACCAGACAGGCUAUGCUACCAAGUCUAUUAUCUGUGUGGAUUUCAACAUACCGAGUGCUGGGAUAUUGUUUUCAGCCUCAUGCUCCUUGACUGGAUUUACAAGUUUAGAAUUCUGUUUGAAUAUCUGUAACCUAUACACAAAAUUGGUAACUGAAAUAAUUUCAACAGUUCAGAAUCUACCUCCAAGUAGUGGCAUUUAGAUAACUAUCCUGCACAGACAAGAAGGGUGUCUUUCUGUCCCAAGGAAUAGCUCUCAUGCUUCAGUCAAAACACAUUUGGUAUUUUAUUAACUCGAUUGCUGUAUUUUUAUUUGGUUUGCCUGCUUUAAUGGUGACAGCUCAUUGAAGGCUGUGGUCAUGGCUGCUUUUUGAGAGACCCUUAAUGUAUGACCCAGAUCUGUAAUACUAAUAUUACUCUAAUUCAACUUUUCAGGAUAUAACUGUGAGAACAGAAAGCCUCAGUAAUUGUUAGUAGUCCAGAUGCAGCCUCAAGACAACGGCUAGAAAGAAUUGAAAACAGUAAUGAGGAAACAUUCUUAACAAUGAAACAAAAGUGCUUCAAAACAACAAAAUACAGGAAUUAACCCCAUCUCAGACUGGAGUAGUCAAAUAUAUUUAAUGGGGGUGGGGUAUAAAGUUUUGUUUCCACCUUUGGUUCUUAUCACAUCCAGAUUUAUGAAAAAUACUGACUAGCCCUUCACAUGAAUAAAAAUUUGAAUCAUGUGGAAAAAAGUUUUUGUAUUUCCAGUGCUUUUAAUAGGUGGGUAUUACAUAAAG